AGGGAUUGGACCUGACCGUCUGAUUAUAGCUCUUCAAUUUCCGCCAUCUUGUUUUCACUUUUUGGACUUGCUCCAGUUAUAUAUUGAGAUCAUUGGGGUUAUCUCAUUUGUUUUGUAUCCAUAAAAGAGUAUCCAUGAAUCUAUAUAUUAAUUCGCAUGCAUGCAUAUACUUACUUAUUUAUUUAUUUAUUUAAAAGGCCAUGGGC